CUUCAAAUCCAAGAAGAAGCCAUGUUUUCCAAUAACUUCCGUGGAUUUCAUUUUCAGUGAAAUUUUCUGUAUAGAUACUAAAUUAAAAAUUAAAUACCAAGUCACUUUGGAUGAACUCCUGGGCGAUGCUUCCAUGUCUUUAGGUUGACAGUAGAGUUGGACCAUGUUAGCCAAGAAUAAACGUGCUAGGAAUAUAUAAAAAUCAACAAAGUUCAUG
rnacentral:misc_RNA from 1 species